AGGCCCGUAGCUCAGUCGAACAGAGCGCAGCGCUACGAACGCUGAGGUCGGAGGUUUGAAUCCUCUCGGGCCUACCA
rnacentral:tRNA from 1 species